rnacentral:rRNA from 1 species
CAAGUCGAACGAAGCUUGAAUUCAGAUUUCUUCGGAAUGAAGAAUGAUAUGACUGAGUGGCGGACGGGUGAGUAACGCGUGAGCAACCUGCCCUUCGGAGGGGGAUAGUGUCUGGAAACGGACAGUAAUACCGCAUAACGUAUUUUUACCGCAUGAUAGAAAUACCAAAACUGAGGUGCCGAAGGAUGGGCUCGCGUUGGAUUAGAUAGUUGGUGGGGUAACGGCCUACCAAGUCAACGAUCCAUAGCCGGACUGAGAGGUUGAACGGCCACAUUGGGACUGAGACACGGCCCAGACUCCUACGGGAGGCAGCAGUGGGGAAUAUUGCACAAUGGGGGAAACCCUGAUGCAGCAACGCCGCGUGAAGGAAGACGGUUUUCGGAUUGUAAACUUCUGUUCUUAGUGAAGAAAAAUGACGGUAGCUAAGGAGCAAGCCACGGCUAACUACGUGCCAGCAGCCGCGGUAAUACGUAGGUGGCAAGCGUUGUCCGGAAUUACUGGGUGUAAAGGGAGCGCAGGCGGGAAGCCAAGUCAGCUGUGAAAACUACGGGCUUAACUUGUAGACUGCAGUUGAAACUGGUCUUCUUGAGUGAAGUAGAGGUUGGCGGAAUUCCGAGUGUAGCGGUGAAAUGCGUAGAUAUUCGGAGGAACACCGGUGGCGAAGGCGGCCAACUGGGCUUUAACUGACGCUGAGGCUCGAAAGUGUGGGGAGCAAACAGGAUUAGAUACCCUGGUAGUCCACACUGUAAACGAUGAUAACUAGGUGUGGGGGGUCUGACCCCUUCCGUG